AUGCAUCUGACGAAUCCCAAAUAGGAUGAAACACGAGUCCUAGAU
rfam:Schistosoma mattheei strain Denwood, Zambia genome assembly, scaffold: SMTD_scaffold0000274